rnacentral:lncRNA from 1 species
GCUCUCUGAAGCUAGUGACCCCGGAGGGGGCACCAGCUCCCGGGCUUCGCACCCCUGAGAUCCCCAUGACAGAAGCGGUCGAGGCUGUGGCAAUGGUUGGAGAUCGACUCCAGGCCUUCUGGAAGCACGGAGUUCAGGUGUGGGCUCCAGACUCGGAACAGGUAGGCUCUCAGUUCACACCACUCCCUUGUCCUCAACCUCAACCUUCUCAUCCUUUGAAUGGGCUUGGAGAAGCCCUGUGUCAGAACAGAGACUCCUGUUGGGAUGUCUCAAGGCACACAUUGUCACCUAAGUGGAAACUGGCUCACCUCACAGAGCACUCUACGGGCUUCCCUGGUUCCUGACUUACUCUUUACAGUACAGUUGCCUAUCAGAUAGGGCGCCGUUUAAGCCACAUGCUCAAAGUCACCCAGCUUCUGGAGUUAGACUUACCCCGAGGAAGUCAUGUUUGUAGGGAGAGGGGAGGUCCUACUUCUCAGUAUGGACACAAACACACUUUCUCCACAGCCGCUGCAGGAGCUGAGAGAUCCCACCCUCACCUUCCGUCUGCUCUGCUCCCCGAGGUAUGGCGGUGGAGGGAUGAAUGGGGAAUAGAGAGGCUGGCGGUGCGGAGUGAGGUUUCCGUGGCCUAGAAAACCCUUCCAUGUUCUCUCACUGGGUUCCCUCCCGAGGCUCCGGCUCCACGGUGACUCUCGGGAGCCUUGGCUGCCCUCAGAAGAAGCCC